rnacentral:lncRNA from 1 species
GCGGUGGAGCGGCGUGGGCUCCGCACCAGCAGCUCGGUGCCAGGCUCGGUACCUGGCAGGCCGGGCGCGCCUCGCAGGCCGCCCGGGGCGCGGAGGGUGUGAGCGCGCGCGCCCCCUCCGUGCCCGCUCAGCCUCGCGCGCGUCUCGGGGGAGGCUCCGCCGAGAGGCGCCCGGGGAGCCCGCAGCCUCAGUCCUGCCGCCGGCGGAGCUUUGUGCGGCGGCGGCUCCGAGUCCCACCUGCUGGCGGCGGAGAGACAAGGAAGAGGAAGAAGGAGGAGGAGGAGGGGAAAGAGGCGGCGGCGCCAGCCCACUCCUCUCGCCGGCGCCCACUCCCGGGGGCUCCGCAGCCCCCCGCUCUCGGCCUGCACCAGCUCCCCGCCCCCGGCCCGGCCCGGCCUCCCGGCCACACCGCGGCAGCCGCCGCUGCAGCCCCCAGCCUUGCCCGGCGGGGCCCGGCCCGGCCCGGCCCGGCCGCCGCCGCCGCCGCCGCCGCCCGGAGCCGCCGGCGAGUUUGAGGGGAGCGCGGGGCGCGCGGCGCCGCUUCAAUGUGCCCGGGAGCCGCCUCGGCGCCCCAGCCCCGCUGAACAGCCCCGGCGCGGCUGCCCUAGAGGACGAGCGAGGAGGCGCGGAGAGCCCCGGAGAAAGAGAGCCAGCGAGAAAGAGCGAGCCCGACAGCGAGCGCAGGGAGCGACACCAUGCCCGGCUGGAAGAAGAAUAUCCCUAUCUGCUUGCAGGCAGAGGAGCAGGAGAGAGGAAGAAGAUUGCUGUCUGGUUUGAACUGGAAUUUCUCGCUAUGUCCCACUGGAGGUAUGUCAUAGUCUGCUCUUCUCACUCCUCUGUCUCAGGAAACAUGGUGGAAUUUUCUUAAGAGGCUUCGAAUUCCUUUUCCUCCUUAUAGGGGAAGAAUUUGCCUCAGUCAUAUUUUCUAAUGGCAUCUCCUCAUCUGUCAGCUCUUUCUCAAGGUACUUUCCCAUGAGAGAGAAGGAAGGAAAUCUCCAUGUCAAAGCAUUUUUCUUCCUACUGAUUUAAUUUUAUGGUUUUUAUCCUUGUCGUCUUUAAGGAGCAUGGCUACCUCAAUGCUCUGUGGAGGGAAACACCAAACAGAGGCUCAUCCCUCCCAGUGUUUAGCCCCUGUGAUGAGGAGGAUGCAGAUACUCCUCUUCUACUUUGUAUUCUUCGGUCAUCAUUCUAAAAUCAC